ensembl:lncRNA
CACAACGGUGCAUAAUAUAAAGAAAGCAUAUUUUGAAUGAGCAUUUUAAGUUAUGGCCUUUUUGUCUUGUCCAAUCAGCACUCAAGACGUUGUAUCACGUGCACUGGCGCAUUACGCUUGAUCUGGCGACUUUUCUGAAACAAACUAGCAACGCACAGAGCACGCCGAGCUGAGGGAAAAAUCAUUUCACACGGAGUUUGUCUGCAUUUAAGAGCCAUUUUUAUCUGCGCCAUAACAGCCCUAUACGGAGCCCUCCUAGUGUCAGCCCGCGGAAGCCAAACAGUGGGAAACGCAAGUCAUCAGCACUUUACAGUAAUGGAGUCAGUAAGGGACCGUCUAAAACGUGCAUGACCUGGGCAACUGUAUAAGAUUCUACUAAGUGUAUAGUCGUCUACUUCACAGGAUAUCUAACUUAUUGCAGUGUUAGGAUACAUUGUGGAUAAAGUAUGUGUUUUUUUUUAUAGCAUAUAUAUUAUUAAUGAUGUACCUUUUUAUUACACGCAUAAACUUAUUGUGCUAUAUAAAACCCAGCAUUAGUCUUAGCAACUAUAGCAAAAUGCUGUUUUUAUUGCUUAAAGAAUUUCUGUAAAUAAAUAGAAAUUAAAUUAAAUUUUUAUCAUACACAGUAUAGUAUACUCCAUUCUUCUUAUCAAUGACAACUCUAUUUUGAAAAUAAUCAAGGGUUUUUUUGUUUAAAGAAGGAAAAAAUAAUUAAAAUGCAAUAACUUUGCUUAUAGGAGUUACACAUGUAAAACCAAAUGUACUAUGAUGCAGAUUAUUAUUGCUAUCAAGUACAGCAAAUAAAAUUUGAAAUCUCAGUUUUUCAUAAUUCCUCUUUUAUUACAAGUUUAAAAUAAAAACUAUAUUUUUAUGAUUUUUUUUAUUUUGCAAAAGAGAAAAAUAAUAAAAAUGCAAUAACUUUGACUGGCUUGCCACCUUGCCUCAGUCACGAUAUUUUUGAAGGUGUGUUGUCUUAUGAUGUUGCUCUUUACAAAGUACUUUGUUAAGAAGAAGUGGUUCACUUACUCAAUUCAUAACCGUCUAAUCAGGCAGUUCAAAUAUAAUGGCUCUGAUGCAUUCACAAAAC